AGUAUUUGCUUGUUCAGAAGACUAAGCCAUGCAUGUAUAAGUUCACACCUUAAUACGGUGAAACCGCGAAUGGCUCAUUAAAUCAGCUAUUAUUUAUUAGAUCUUACAAGAUUACUUGGAUAACUGUAGUAAUUCUAGAGCUAAUACAUGAAUAUGUGCUUUGGUUCACSCCAAAUGCGAAUUUAUUAGAUCAAAACCAACCGGUUUCGGNCCGUUAAAUUGGUGACUCUGGAUAACUAUUCUGAUCGCAUGACCUUGUGUCGGCGACGUAUCUUUCAAGUGUCUGCCCUAUCAACUUAAGUUGGUGAGUUAGUUGCUCACCAUGGUUAUAACGGGUAACGGAGAAUCAGUGUUCGAUACCGGAGAGGGAGCCUUAGAAACGGCUACCACAUCUAAGGAAGGCAGCAGGCGCGCAAAUUACCCACUCUCAGAACGAGGAGGUAGUGAAUUUAAAUAGCGAUGAUGAACUCUUAUGAGGCUCGUCAAUCGAAAUGAGUACAAUUUAAAUCCUUUAACGAGUACCAAUUGGAGGGCAAGUCUGGUGCCAGCAGCCGCGGUAAUUCCAGCUCCAAUAGCGAAUAUUAAAUUUGUUGCAGUUAAAAAGCUCGUAGUUGGAUCCAAGGUUAGGCAUGCCUGUCUGUUCUUAGUAGCAUGACUGUGUGUGUCUGCCUUUAUUAGUUGAAUGUUCAUUAUGGUGGUCUUCAUCGACUGCUAUGAUGUGCUCAACACGUUUACCUUGAAAAAAUCAGAGCGAUCAAGGCAGGCCUUCGUGCUUGUAUGUUGUUGCAAGGAAUAAUAGAAUAGGACUUCGGUUCUAUUUUGUUGGUUUUGAGAAUUGAAGUAAUGAACAAUAGAGACAGUCGGGGGCAUUUGUAUGGUGGCDUUAGAGGUGAAAUUCUGAGAUCGUCGCCAGACAAACUACUGCGAAAGCAUUUGCCAAGGAUGUCUUCAUUAAUCAAGAACGAAWGUCAGAGGUUCGAAGACGAUCAGAUACCGUCCUAGUUCUGACCAUAAACGAUGCCGACCUACAAUCGGGGGUGGUUUAUUAUAUUGACCCUCCCGGCUGUCCUCAGGAAACUUUAAGUUGGUUCUGGGGGGAAUAUGGUCUCAAGACUGAAACUUAAAGGAAUUGACGGAAGGGCACCACCAGGAGUGGGCBBCGGCUUAAUUUGACUCAACACGGGGAAUCUCACCCGGUCCGGACACUGGUAGGAUGGACAGAUUGAUAGCUCUUUCUUGAUUCAGUGGGUGGUGGUGCAUGGCCGUUCUUAGUUGGUGGAGUGAUUUGUCUGGUUAAUUCCGAUAACGAACGAGACUCUGUCCUGCUAAAUAGUCCAGUGGCAUCAAUCACUAUGUGAUUACAGCUGCUGUUACUUCUUAGAGGGAUUCGCGGAUUUAAACCGCAAGAAAUAGAGCAAUAACAGGUCUGUGAUGCCCUUAGAUGUCCGGGGSCSCACGCGCGCUACAUUGACAGUAGAAGCGAGUAUUUCUACCUGGUUCGAAAGAAUUGGGAAAUCUUCGAAUUACUGUCUCCACAGGGAUUGAGGUUUGCAAUUUUGCCUCAUGAACGAGGAAUUCCCAGUAGGCGCAAGUCAUCAGCUUGCGUCGAUUACGUCCCUGCCCUUUGUACACACCGCCCGUCGCUACUACCGAUUGAGUGCAUUAGUGAGGACCUCGGAUWGAGAACAUAGUGGCGCAAGUUACUUUGUUUUCGAAAAGUGGUUCAAAUUUGUGCAUUWAGAGAUAGUBAAAGUCGUAACAAGGUUUCCGUAGUGAACCUGCAGAUG
rnacentral:rRNA from 1 species